CUCUUGUGUCAUCUGGGAAGGGCUGACAGCUUCUAUCUCACCUCUAAACUCACUUCUAAGUCUAAGUUCAAAUGAGUUGAAGACCCAGCCACCUGAUGAAAACUGAUUCGUAGAACUCAUUAAGAACUCGCCAACAAAGUUUUAAGUUGACAAGCAGGGAGGUGUCAAUCCAUUGGAGAGAACUGAAGAGUGGUUAGAAGUUCAGAAAACAUGCUAGAACUGAAAAUACAAGCGAAAUCUGAGAAGAGAAAAGAUGAAUAAAUACAUUUGUUUGUAUCUACCUAAGAAACUAAACUGGGGAGGCUGUCUUCCUUCAAAACUACUGCUCUGCAGUCUUCAGUGUCUUUGCUGGUAAGAAGCAGUGUCAUUUUCCUUUCUACUUAGAACGGCAUUUUCUAAGGGAGACUGGAAACUGGGACCUUCCAUAAAUUCCCACAUGAUCACUGUA